GCAGACCACGUUAGAACCUUGGCUCCUGGAGUGGCAGAACCUCAAGCUUCAAUGGGACCCUCAUUUCAUAAAUGAAGAAACUGAGAUUUAAAGAGGGGAACUACCGAAGGUCACAGAGCGAGUUCGUGGAUGGGGAAACUGAGCCUCACAUGUAUGAAUUGCAGCAUAUAAGCAACAGACUCCGGAUUUGAACUUGUAUAUCUUGUUCCAGACUUCCCAGAUGACCACCAAGGCGGAAGCGAUGGUGAUGCCAAGGCGGAAGGGAUGGUGAUGCCCAGGCAGAAGGGAGCUAGGCUGGCCCAGGCUUUUCCUGUAGGCAUAGCGGGCUCCAGGUUCAGCCUUCCCGGACGGUAAUGUUGCUUUCUGAAGAGCUACUUUCCCGCCAACUCAUCUCUGGACUUCUCUGGGGCCCAACUCUGAUUUCCUGCCUGCAGGAGGUCCCCUCUGACUUCCGAUAGUAGAUGACCCUUCUGACUCACAGUUCUACUGCUGGGAAAUGCCUCCAGAGCUGCUGCCCACCCCCUCUGCAUCCCUCCAGGUCACUGGGUGUCGAGUCAGGGGAAGCAGGGAUGCACAUGGGUGGGAAACUCAGUCCUCCUAAAUGUCAGAGCCUCAGGACUUUGGCUACUCAGAAGUAGCUCCCUCCUGGGCCACCAGGAAGCAGCAGGGCAGCCAGCAUCCCGACGUCACUCCUGGACUCUGCUGCUCAGAGGCUAGACAGAGAACCAAGGUGGGAAAGAGGCUUAAACCACAGCGUGGGGAGAUUUAGGUUAGGUGGGUCAGAGGAAGUUUAGGACAAGACUUGUCCUUUUCGGUCUCUGUCCAGCUUCAGCACAGCCACUGCUUCCUCUCUUUGGUUUUUCCCAUCCCCCUCUCUCCCACCACCUCUAUCCCCUUCCAGCUUUUCUUCUUUCUUUCCCUCCUUCUCAGACCCCAAAGUUUCUCAGGAUUAGCUGCCCAUGUGCGUAUCUCCCCCACCCCCAAAUCUUUCCUCACUAUCUCACAGAAACAGGCAAACACACACACAUGCACACAACCAUGAGUGGCCCUGAGAGUUCCCUGAUUGGACUGAGGUUGGAGCCCCAGCUCUUGUCCUGAGCUGAGGCCCUUCCCCCAGGUAUCUUGGGGCUUCUUCCAUCAUUUCUCUUGACAGGAGCUGUGGGCGUCUGGGCAGAUGGGAACCUGGGGGAGGUGUGGGAAGCCCUCUCUGAGGCAGGAAGCUCCCACACUACUGUAGUUAAAAUACUCCGGCAGCAACUUGGGGCAGCCAUCUGGGAUGCCCAGAUCUCCCAGGACACUCAGCUCUCAACAACAACCCUAUAGGAACAAAUUAAAAACCUAAGAGAUAGUUGUAGGCCCUGGAAAUGUCUCCCAAAAGUGGCCUGAACUUGAGUUCUGUUUCCUUUUAUCUUCUUCAGGGUUAGCAUUGGGCAUUGGCAUUUACAAAAACUCUCUAAGCAUUAAGCAAAAGUUAUAGGAGUGGAAGAUACAGCAUUCUGGAUCUCCAAUCCUAAUACCCAGCCACACCCCAGCAGCUAUGCAUGGUUCCAUGGGAGAACAGGCAUAGCCCAUCCUGCUGGCAUAUAGUCCAGCCACAUCUUCCAAUGCCCACCUGGAGACUGAGCCCAGUUCUGCCCAGCAACAGGAGCUCAGAGCUCUAGAGAGCCUCUCCUGGGGUGCAGACUCAGGAGAUCUUAGCUCAGGGGCAGACUUAGCCUGACUUCCUCUUUUAUAGGAGGAGACAGACUUAGUUACAGAGGAAACCAGAGUUGUUAUAAAUAGCAAGGAAGGGAGAAAACUGCUAUGGAUUACAAACACACCAUCAAUCUUAAACUAUUUUUAGUUUCAAAUAAUAAUGAGAGUCUAAUUAAUGCUCUGUAUAACUUCAAAUGUGGGAUCUUUAUCUACCUUUCUACUUUGUGAUGCUUUCUAAUACAGUAUGAGGGCCAAAGGCAGGAAGAGCUAUGGGCAAUUCUCAAUGUUACCAAAUCCUAGAUGUGGAAAGAACCUGAGAAAUUUAGUCUAGCCCUUUCAUUUUCAGUGAAGAAACUGAGGCCCAGAGAGGUCAAAGGACUUGUCCAAAGUUGCACAGUAAGAUAGGGACUGAGCAGUGACUAAAAGCCUAGUCCCUGUACUCCAGAAGCAGGGCAGUUCCACAACAGUACAAUAGAACCCAAAGGCUAAACAUCUAUGGUUGGGCUGUUGGUGAGUUUAUAGCCUGGAUAAAAGUUAGGUCUGGGCCAGGUGUGGAGGCUCACGCCUGUAAUCCCAGCACUUUGGGAGGCUGAGGCGGGUGGAUCGCUUGAGGCCAGGAGUUCGAGACCAAUCUGGCCAACAUGGCAAAACCUCACCUCUACUAAAAAAUACAAAACUUAGCCAGAUGUGAUGACACAUGCCUGUAAUCCCAGCUACUCAGGAGGCUGAGGCACAAGAAUCGGUUGAACCCAGGAGGUGGAGAUUUCAGUGAGCUGAGAUCGCACCGCUGUACUCCAACCUGGGGAACAAAGCAAGACUCUGUCUCAAA